GAAGCCAGGGCUUUGGACAUGCUGGCUCUCUGGAACUUGAUAGAACCAACACUGGUUUGGAGGAUGAUGCCUGAGAUUCCACCAGCCCUUGGGAGUCGGGCCAGGACUGCUACGAUCUUGUCUCAAAAGAACAACACGGAGACAGUGAGAUGGCUCAGCAGGUACAAGCGGCUGCUCUUGCAUGAGGACCCGAGUUUGAUCUGCAGAUCCCACAGUGAAAGAAGAGCCAAUUCAAGAUUGUCCUCUGACCCCAACUAAAUGUGACUGCCAUACAGGGAGAAGACAGUUCACAGAU
rnacentral:lncRNA from 1 species